AUUGAACGCUGGCGGCAUGCCUUACACAUGCAAGUCGAACGGUAACAGGUCUUCGGAUGCUGACGAGUGGCGAACGGGUGAGUAAUACAUCGGAACGUGCCUAGUAGUGGGGGAUAACUACUCGAAAGAGUGGCUACUACCGCAUGAGAUCUACGGAUGAAAGCAGGGGAACGCAGGACCUUGUGCUACUAGAGCGGCGGAUGGCAGAUUUGGUAGUUGGUGGGAUAAAAGCUUACCAAGCCGACGAUCUGUAGCUGGUCGGAGAGGACGAUCAGCCACACUGGGACUGAGAAACGGCCCAGACUCCUACGGGAGGCAGCAGUGGGGAAUUUUGGACAAUGGGCGCAAGCCUGAUCCAGCAAUGCCGCGUGCAGGAUGAAGGCCUUCGGGUUGUAAACUGCUUUUGUACGGAACGAAAAGCCCCGGGUUAAUACCCUGGGGUCAUGACGGUACCGUAAGAAUAAGCACCGGCUAACUACGUGCCAGCCGCCGCCGUAA
rnacentral:rRNA from 1 species